rnacentral:rRNA from 1 species
GACGAACGCUGGCGGCGUGCUUAACACAUGCAAGUCGAACGGAAAGGCCCUGCUUUUGUGGGGUGCUCGAGUGGCGAACGGGUGAGUAACACGUGAGUAACCUGCCCUUGACUUUGGGAUAACUUCAGGAAACUGGGGCUAAUACCGGAUAGGAGCUCCUGCUGCAUGGUGGGGGUUGGAAAGUUUCGGCGGUUGGGGAUGGACUCGCGGCUUAUCAGCUUGUUGGUGGGGUAGUGGCUUACCAAGGCUUUGACGGGUAGCCGGCCUGAGAGGGUGACCGGCCACAUUGGGACUGAGAUACGGCACAGACUCCUACGGGGGGCAGCAGUGGGGAAUAUUGCACAAUGGGCGGCAGCCUGAUGCAGCAACGCCGCGUGCGGGAUGACGGCCUUCGGGUUGUAAACCGCGUUCGCCUGUGACGAAGCGUGAGUGACGGUAAUGGGUAAAGAAGCACCGGCUAACUACGUG